rnacentral:rRNA from 4 species
GUACCCUGGUAGUCCACGCUGUAAACGAUGUCGACUUGGAGGUUGUGCCCUUGAGGCGUGGCUUCCGGAGCUAACGCGUUAAGUCGACCGCCUGGGGAGUACGGCCGCAAGGUUAAAACUCAAAUGAAUUGACGGGGGCCCGCACAAGCGGUGGAGCAUGUGGUUUAAUUCGAUGCAACGCGAAGAACCUUACCUACUCUUGACAUCCACGGAAUUCGCCAGAGAUGGCUUAGUGCCUUCGGGAACCGUGAGACAGGUGCUGCAUGGCUGUCGUCAGCUCGUGUUGUGAAAUGUUGGGUUAAGUCCCGCAACGAGCGCAACCCUUAUCCUUUGUUGCCAGCACGUAAUGGUGGGAACUCAAAGGAGACUGCCGGUGAUAAACCGGAGGAAGGUGGGGAUGACGUCAAGUCAUCAUGGCCCUUACGAGUAGGGCUACACACGUGCUACAAUGGCAUAUACAAAGAGAAGCGAACUCGCGAGAGCAAGCGGACCUCAUAAAGUAUGUCGUAGUCCGGAUUGGAGUCUGCAACUCGACUCCAUGAAGUCGGAAUCGCUAGUAAUCGUAGAUCAGAAUGCUACGGUGAAUACGUUCCCGGGCCUUGUACACACCGCCCGUCACACCAUGGGAGUGGGUUGCAAAAGAAGUAGGUAGCUUAAC